rfam:Picea glauca, whole genome shotgun sequence.
AUAACGGUGUCUUUAGACACCACCCUUUAUUUAAUUUGAAAUUUAU